AAACGACUCUCGGCAACGGAUAUCUCGGCUCUCGCAUCGAUGAAGAACGUAGCGAAAUGCGAUACUUGGUGUGAAUUGCAGAAUCCCGUGAAUCAUCGAGUCUUUGAACGCAAGUUGCGCCCCAAGCCUUCUGGCCGAGGGCACGUCUGCCUGG
rnacentral:rRNA from 1 species